UUACCCGUGGGGCGUGAGAAGGUCUUGUGCUGUCUGUCUGCGUGCCGAGAGCGCGGUGGGCGUGUCCGGGGUUACCCCAUGUGAUUCGUUGCUGCUUCGGAUCUUGUGAAUUUUUUUUGUGUUGGUUUUGUUUCAUUGUUUCGGAUUUUUUAUUUUUCCGGGGUUUUCCGCGGCGACGGCGAGCGAGCAAAGGAAAAGGGUGUGACAGCUGACCCCUCCCCCCCUACCUGUGACACCCUACAGAAGACAGAUGACAUGAACUUGCCUGUGCUGCUGUAACACGCACGUGAGGUCGCCCCACCCCCCCCCUCCUUCGAACCCUCUCCCUCUCCCCCACUCUUGCCCCUCCCUCCCCCCCUUCCCACCUCUUUUCCUUUGCAACUCCCUCCUCCCCUCCCCCCUCGCCCCUCCCCCCUCCAACGGCGAUUGGUGGGCGUCGAGGCAGAGUCGUGGGCGUGACGUGGGCGUGAUGACGAGGCAGCGGCCGGCCGGGUGGUGGGCGGAGGCGGUGCUCUUGGCGGCGGUGGCGCUGGUGAGCGUGUCCGUGACCACGCCCCUCGCCGCGGCUG